GGCGGUUUGAUAAGUNUGAAGUUAAAGGCUGUGGCUCAACCAUAGUUCGCUUUGGAAACUGUCAAACUUGAGUGCAGAAGGGGAGAGUGGAAUUCCAUGUGUAGCGGUGAAAUGCGUAGAUAUAUGGAGGAACACCGGUGGCGAAAGCGGCUCUCUGGUCUGUAACUGACGCUGAGGCUCGAAAGCGUGGGGAGCGAACAGGAUUAGAUACCCUGGUAGUNCACGCCGUAAACGAUGAGUGCUAGGUGUUGGGUCCUUUCCGGGAUUCAGUGCCGCAGCUAACGCAUUAAGCACUCCGCCUGGGGAGUACGACCGCAAGGUUGAAACUCAAAGGAAUUGACGGGGGCCCGCACAAGCGGUGGAGCAUGUGGUUUAAUUCGAAGCAACGCGAAGAACCUUACCAGGUCUUGACAUCCCGAUGCUAUUUCUAGAGAUAGGAAGUUACUUCGGUACAUCGGUGACAGGUGGUGCAUGGUUGUCGUCAGCUCGUGUCGUGAGAUGUUGGGUUAAGNCCNGCAACGAGCGCAACCCCUAUUGUUAGUUGCCAUCAUUCAGUUGGGCACUCUAGCGAGACUGCCGGUAAUAAACCGGAGGAAGGUGGGGAUGACGUCAAAUCAUCAUGCCCCUUAUGACCUGGGCUACACACGUGCUACAAUGGUUGGUACAACGAGUUGCGAGUCGGUGACGGCGAGCUAAUCUCUUAAAGCCAAUCUCAGUUCGGAUUGUAGGCUGCAACUCGCCUACAUGAAGUCGGAAUCGCUAGUAAUCGCGGAUCAGCACGCCGCGGUGAAUACGUUCCCGGGCCUUGU
rnacentral:rRNA from 1 species